AUGAACCUGGUUUCUGUUCAGCCGUUGCCUCUCACAGCCAAAAUUACCUUGCAGCUAAUCAAAGUCACAGAGAGAAUACUGAAACCGGAACCCACCAGAUACCACGUUUUUAGGAGGAUACCUAGAGUAAAUCGGAUUACAUUUUCUAAGAUUAGUUUUGGCAAUGGACCCCGCAUUUCUGAAUCCAUCCUGUGGGCUGGAGCCAGGAUACGUACUGAGCAGAGGCUGCAUUAUCUUACUCUUCUCUUGAAGGGUGGAGGUGGCUGGAAACACCAUCAGAUUGCCUUCGAUGAUCUGCUACACGUACGCCAGAUAGCCCUCCGUCCUCCCCACUGCCCAUCGAUCCUCAUCUUUUCAGUGGGUAGCAAUGAAUUGCAAAUGAAUGUUACGAGAUCCUCACUAAAGCCAUCGAGUGCUCCCACGUGUGGGAAGGUCAAGCACAGCAGUGCCCAGUGGAGGGACAAAGUGUUGCAGAUAAAUAAAAAUCUCCUGCCAGAACGGUGCCGGUGCCACCAGCCUGGUUCAGCGGAGCUCAGCGCCAUCCCCACGCUCCCAGCCGUGCUGCAGCCCUGGCCAGCCAGCUCUUCUUGA
rnacentral:lncRNA from 1 species